CGUCCGAGUUGUAACCUGGAGAGGCAUUUNCCGCGUUGGACCGUGUACAAGUCUCCUGGAAUGGAGCGUCAUAGAGGGUGAGAAUCCCGUCCAUGACACGGACCGCCAAUGCUCUGUGAUAUGCCUUCNAAGAGUCGCGUUGUUUGGGAAUGCAGCGCAAAAUGGGUGGUAAAUUCCAUCUAAAGCUAAAUAUUGGCGAGAGACCGAUAGCGAACAAGUACCGUGAGGGAAAGAUGAAAAGCACUUUGGAAAGAGAGUUAAACAGUACGUGAAAUUGUUGAAAGGGAANCGCUUGAAGUCAGUCGCGUUCCGUGGAACUCAGCCUUACCUNGGUUUGGUGUACUUUCCAUUUGAACGGGUCAACGUCAAUUUUGGCCGGUGGACAAAGACAAGGGGAAUGUAGCGUUGCUUCGGUGACGUGUUAUAGACCCUUGUUGUAUACACCGGUUAGGAUUGAGGACUGCAGCACGCCCUUGUGGCCGGGGG
rnacentral:rRNA from 1 species